rnacentral:rRNA from 1 species
AUUGAACGCUGGCGGCAGGCCUAACACAUGCAAGUCGAACGAGUCGCGGACGGGAGAGUAAUGUCUGGGACACCGCCUGAUGGGGGGGGAUCUCUACUGGAAACGGUAGCUAAUCCCGCAUUCUCUCAUGUGUGCCCAGAUGGGUUUCGCUUGGUGGUGGGGUAACGGCUCACCAAGGCGACGAUCCCUAGCUGGUCUGAGAGGAUGACCAGCCACACUGGAACUGAGACACGGUCCAGACUCCUACGGGAGGCAGCAGUGGGGAAUAUUGCACAAUGGGCGCAAGCCUGAUGCAGCCAUGCCGCGUGUGUGAAGAAGGCCUUCGGGUUGUAAAGUACUUUCAGCGGGGAGGCGUUACCCGCAGAAGAAGCACCGGCUAACUCCGUGCCAGCAGCCGCGGUAAUUC